rnacentral:sRNA from 1 species
GCAGAGCUUGGGGCUGCCUUGGUCGCACCCACCACCUGCCUGCCCACUGGUCAGCCUUCAGGGAACCUGAGCACCGCCUGGUCUCUUUCCUGUGGCCAGCCCAGAGCUGAAGCGCUGCGGCAUGGCGCGCGCCUGCCUCCAGGCCGUCAAGUACCUCAUGUUCGCCUUCAACCUGCUCUUCUGGUUCUUCCUGCUGCUGCUGCUGGUGUUCCUGCUGGAGGCCACCAUCGCCAUCCUCUUCUUCGCCUACACGGACAAGGUACGGCUGCCUUGGCCGCAGGCCCAACUGCAGGGCUGGGGGCUCCAUCCUCACUCCCAGGGAGCACUGUGGGCCCAGUGUGGACAGAGUGGCCCUGCAUGUGCCCUCAUGGGCGGGCAGGACAGCGGGUGUGGAUUUACCA